CCGGGGAUAACAGGCUUAUCGCUCCCGAGCGUCCAUAGCGGCGGAGCGGUUUGGCACCUCGAUGUCGGCUCAUCGCAUCCUGGGGCUGUAGGCGGUCCCAAGGGUUGGGCUGUUCGCCCAUUAAAGCGGUACGCGAGCUGGGUUCAGACCGGCGUGAGCCAGGUCGGUCCCUAUCUGUCGUGGGCGGUCCAGACUUGACAGGAGUCAACUUUAGUACGAGAGGACUGAGUUGGACGAACCCCUGGUGAUCCUGCUGGCGUGCCAACGCCACCGCAGGGUAGCUACGUUCGGCAGGGAUAACCGCUGAAAGCAUCUAAGCGGGAAGCCCCCCUGGAGAUGAGGUCUGGUAGCGCAAGCGUGAGACCCCCGGUAGACCACCGGGUUGAUCGGCCGCAGCUGUAAGGGUUGAGAAGCCCUCAGGUGAGCGGUACGAACGGUCGAAGGUGUGACCAC
rnacentral:rRNA from 1 species